rnacentral:piRNA from 1 species
UACAGAUGUUCACUGGUUGUGCCAUAGAUC